rnacentral:rRNA from 1 species
UAUUAUACUAUAAAUUAAUAAUCAUUUUGGAAUAUUAACAGAUAUAGUCUUUAAAUUCAAAGAAUUUGGCGGUAGCUAAGUCUUGUCAGAGGAACCUGUUUUUUAAACGAUAAAACACGAAAAAUUUUACUUAUUUUUAAAGUUUGUAUACCGUCAUUAUCAGAUAAUAUUGAAAAAUUAUUAUUAAGUUUUAUAAUUUUUGCAGAAAUUAGAUCAAGGUGCAGCCUAUAAAUAAGUUAAAAUGGGUUACAAUAAAAUUUUUUUAGACGAAAAAGUAAAAGAAUAAUUACUAGGAAGGGGGAUUUGAUUGUAAUAAAAAAUCUAAUAAGAUUUUGAGAUAUAAGCUCUAAGCUAU